GCACCAAGUGGCCACAACGCUACCAGCGAGGCCCUGCAAAGAGGUAUGUACGCCGGUAUCUGUCCCGGAUCUGCUCUCUGGCUUUUCCCUUCGGUGGGUGGUCUUGUGUUGAUGAACCAUGUGCGUUGUUGCAUAGGCCAGAUGAGGAGGAGGACGUCAUGGCGCGGUGCCAAUACCGCUCUGCCAAGGUUGACGACGUAGUCUACGCGCUGGCGACGACGACUAUGUCAUGGUAACAGAUCUACUCUGCAUCUCCUGUUCCCUGGCUUUCUUCUACCAGAAAAACUCCCUGCAUUUCCUGAUUGCAAAAUAAGUGUAUCUGCAGGCUAUCUAUGCCAUGACUGGUUGCAAGCCUGUUAAACGUGCCUGCUCACUAGCUUAGCGUGUUCUCCCUGAACUUCAAAUACACCGAGGAAGUCUGCUUUCCUCCGUGAAACUCAUGUACUUGUAUUCUGUUGCUUCGUUUGUUCAAUGUAGCACGGGGGAAACCCUUGUUUUUGUAAAAUAAUGGUAAUUGCUCCGCUUGCAUAGAGUAGCUACUGUUUACAUCUGUAUACAGAUGGCUUGCCACAUGCAUAAAAAUGCUCCAGAUAGGAUUUGAAACGGGGUAGUUUAGAACAUUUGGAUUUUCUUACAAAGGCCCUAUUCAUUUCUGGCAUUACGAUUUUUCUGAUUGUAUGAUGGAUGCUCUAAAUGUUGCUUAACCUGGACCUAACUUGCAAAGUUAGUAGUACUUGUUUACACCCUGUUCUUCACUGCAAACUUGCAUGAAUCUAUGGCUCUUUAUCCAAAAAGUUCC
rnacentral:lncRNA from 1 species